GUGAGGGGGUGACUAGUGACAGAGUGAGGGGGUGACUAGUGACACAGUGAGGGAGGGGGUGACUUGUGACAGAAGGAGGGAGGGAGUAGUGACAGAGGGAGGUGGUGACUAGUGACAGAGUGAGGGAGGGAAGGGUGUGACUAGUGACAGUCACCACCUCCUUCACUCUGUCACUAGCCACCCCCUCCCUCACUCUGUCACUGUGUCACCCCCUUCCUCACUCUGUCACUAGUCACCCUCUCUCUCACUCUGUCACUAGUCACCCCGUCCCUCAC